rnacentral:rRNA from 1 species
UACGUAGGGGGCGAGCGUUGUCCGGAGUUACUGGGCGUAAAGCGCUUGUAGGCGGUCCACCAAGUUUGGGGUGACAGUUGCCGACUUAAUCGGCAAAGUGCCUCAAAGACUGGCGGACUUGAGGGCCACAGAGGGACAUGGAACUCCAGGUGUAGUGGUGAAAUGCGUAGAUAUCAGGAGGAACACCUGUGGUGUAGACGGCUUUCUGGACCAUAACUGACGCUGAGACACGGAAAGCGUGGGUAGCAAACAGG